CCUGUGAAUGAUUUAAUGCAUGUGCAAAACCAAAGUUGGAGCGAGUAGUAAGCCCCACCCACGUCCACCCAACCACAGGUCGACAUUGGCUGUUACACAGAACGUUCCAUUAUACCAUCCCUACACGUGUCCACUAUCAAGGGCCAUGAUGGUUUUGCAUCUGACAGAGAUUGUAAAUCCAGGGCGACCGUUACAUUCUAUAUUAUGCUGAGUACAUGUAUAUAAUGACCGUUACAUACACACAAGAAAUAAUUGUAGCAAGAGACAUUUAUUCCUGGGUUUGCAGAAAAUGGAGGUGUUGAGAGUGUCAUUUGUGAUGGCUGUUUUUGCUCUUUUCUCGGCUCUUCUUCUACUUCCUGCCAUCAAUGCCCAAGCCCCUGCUCCAGCUCCUGCUCCUUCCAAUAAUGGAGCUGCAUUGGACCAAGGAAUUGCAUAUGUGCUCAUGCUGCUCGCUUUGGCCGUUACCUAUAUCAUCCAUUGAUUUUAUUUUAUUUUUAUUUGGAAGAUAUUUAAGUUGUGGUUUUGAUUCCUGCGGUUAUUAAUCAUUCCAUCACAAGAAUCAGAGUCUUGCCUAACGCUUGUUUAUUUGCUAGUAGGGAUUCCAGAACAAUUCUUUUCAAUGUAAAGAUUCUUUUUUAUUUA